rnacentral:rRNA from 2 species
UGGGGAAUAUUGCACAAUGGGCGCAAGCCUGAUGCAGCAACGCCGCGUGAGGGAUGACGGCCUUCGGGUUGUAAACCUCUUUUAGCAGGGAAGAAGCGAGAGUGACGGUACCUGCAGAAAAAGCACCGGCUAACUACGUGCCAGCAGCCGCGGUAAUACGUAGGGUGCAAGCGUUAUCCGGAAUUAUUGGGCGUAAAGAGCUCGUAGGCGGUUUGUCACGUCUGCUGUGAAAUCUGGAGGCUCAACCUCCAGCCUGCAGUGGGUACGGGCAGACUAGAGUGCGGUAGGGGAGAUUGGAAUUCCUGGUGUAGCGGUGGAAUGCGCAGAUAUCAGGAGGAACACCGAUGGCGAAGGCAGAUCUCUGGGCCGUUACUGACGCUGAGGCACGAAAGCGUGGGGAGCAAACAGG